GUCUUUUAGAAGUUUAUUUAAGGUCUGACCUGCCCAUUGAUAAAUUUUAAAAGGCUGCGGUAUUUUGACCGUACAAAGGUAGCAUAGUCAAUAGUUUCUUAAUUAGAAACUUGUAUGAAUGGUUGAAUGAAAUAUUAACUUUUUUAAUUUAAAAAAUUGAAUUUUACUUUUUAAUUAAAAGGUUAAAAUAAUUUUAAAAGACGAGAAGACCCUAUAGAGUUUAAUAAUAAAAUUUAUAUUAUUUAAUAGGAUUUUUGUUAUUAUAUUUAUAAUAUAUUUUAUAUUAUUUUGUUGGGGUGAUGAUAAAAUUUAAUAAACUUUUAUUUAUAUAACCAUUAAUAAAUGAUUUAAUUGAUCCAUUAUUAAUGAUUAAAAAUUUAAAUUACCUUAGGGAUAACAGCGUAAUUUUUUUUUAAGUUCAUAUUAAUAAAAGAUUUUGCGACCUCGAUGUUGGAUUAAGAUUUAAUUUUAGGUGCAGCAGUUUAAAAUUUAAGUCUGUUCGACUUUUUAAUUCUU
rnacentral:rRNA from 1 species